rnacentral:rRNA from 1 species
GUUGAACGCUGGCGGCAGGCCUAACACAUGCAAGUCGAGCGGAAGAAGGGCGCUUGCUCCUGGAUUCAGCGGCGGACGGGUGAGUAAUGCCUAGGAAUCUGCUUGGUAGUGGGGGAGAACGUCCGGAAACGGGCGCUAAUACCGCAUACGUUCUGAGGGAGCAAGGGGGGGGUCUUCGGACCUCACGCCAGCAGGUGAGCCUAGGUCGGAUUAGCUAGUUGGUGGGGUAAAGGCCUACCAAGGCGACGAUCCGUAACUGGUCUGAGAGGAUGAUCAGUCACACUGGAACGGAGACACGGUCCAGACUCCUACGGGAGGCAGCAGUGGGGAAUAUUGGACAAUGGGCGAAAGCCUGAUCCAGCCAUGCCGCGUGUGUGAAGAAGGUCUUCGGAUUGUAAAGCACUUUAAGUUGGGAGGAAGGGCAGUAAGUUAAUACCUUGCUGUUUUGACGUUACCAACAGAAUAAGCACCGGCUAACUUCGUG